ACCUGGGGAGACAGCACCAGCCUGUCUCCCAUUCCAGCUCCCAGGCCCAGGUGGCAGGUACUCCAGACUCCACUGCUAAGCCCAGAUGCCCUAGUCCCUGGUAUUUCUAGUGCCAGACUGGCCUCACCUUGGUGCUGCGAGUGAGGUCAAGAGGCCCAGAAGAGGCAACUUACCAGCCUUUAGAAGGAGACGGGUGAGUGUUGGAGAGCCCAGUCCGGCUGCCAGGUGCAGGGGUGUGUUUCCAGCAAAGGUGCGGGCAUUUACAUUGGCAUGGAGCUGUGGGGGGGAGACGUAUUUGAUCACAGCACAGCCAACUGCUGCCUAUCUCCUUGUACCAUCACAGCCCUUGGUCCCACCUUGGUGACCAGGUGGGUGACCAGCCCCAGCUCUUCCAUCUCUGUGGCCAGAUGCAGGGCUGUCCGACCCCCCUGUCGCUCAGCUGCCUCCACUUCAGCCCCACUGUCCACCAGCAGAUCCAAGCACUCAGGGCUUCGGGCACAGACUGCCAGGUGCACUGGGUACAGUCCUACGAACACAGGACAGCAGCCUGCAGCCGUGACCCCAAGGGGAUCCCCAAGCCAGCUGACUGUGGCCCCCACCAGGUCCAUACAGGAUGAGGAACUCACCCUGGAAGUCAGGCACAUGCAGCAGUUGGGACAUGGUGGGCACCCCGCUCCACAGCAGGGUGCGCAGCAUGUCAGGGGCACCAGCGCCUGCCCGCAGUGCCAGGUGUACUGCUGAGUCUCCGUGCCUGUCCAGCAGUCCAGGGUCUGCACCCACCUGCAGCAGGAAGCUCACCACUCUCGUCUGCCCAGUAAUCACCGCCAGGUGCAGAGGUGUCUGGGGACACAGGCAGAGUGAGCCUGACCCACCUGCACCUAGACCCAUAUGCUCCUCAACCCCUAGCCCCUCACCAAGUGGAGGCCCUCACCUGGUGCAGGUGAUUGGUGAGGUUGACGACGCCCAAGUGCCGGGCGUGAUAGAUGACAUGGGCGAUCUGCUCAAUGACACUGGUCUGCCCGUGGAUAAUGGCCAGGUGCAACGGCCUGGGGGCGAGGGGGUUGAAGGAGAUUCUGGCUAAUGAGUCCAAACCCUACCACCUCCACAGCCUCCCCUCAAGAGUCCUGUGGAGCCCAGGUGUCUCCCAGGGAAGCGUGACAUUUGGACUUAGUCCUUCAGCGCACUUCUUUAUGUCAUCAAGAUAGUCUGUUCCCUUCCCUACUUAGAUCUAGGUGGUGACCCUUCAGCCCUGUGAACCUUUCGGCCCGACCUCCCGCCCACCUACGUGUCUCCAUUCUCGUCCUGAGCAGUCAGCA